UACGGAGGAUCCAAGCGUUAUCCGGAUUUAUUGGGUUUAAAGGGUGCGCAGGCGGAAGAUUAAGUCGGCGGUGAAAUUUUGCAGCUCAACUGUAAAAGUGCCAUCGAUACUGGUUUCCUUGAGUGUGGAUGAAGUAGGCGGAAUUUGUGGUGUAGCGGUGAAAUGCAUAGAUAUCACGAGGAACUCCGAUUGCGCAGGCAGCUUACUAAACCAUAACUGACGCUCAGGCACGAAGGCGUGGGGAUCAAACAGGAUUAGAUA
rnacentral:rRNA from 1 species